rnacentral:misc_RNA from 1 species
CCCAACUAUCCCUAUUAAUCAUUACGUCAAUCCUAGAAACCAACAAAAUAGGAUCGAACGUCCUAUUUCAUUAUUCCAUGCUAAUGUAUUCAAGCGCGAGCCUGCUUUAAACACUCUAAUUUUUUCAAAGUAACAGUCCUGAUUUCCCGCCACACCAAAUUAAUGACAUGACGGUUCGUCAGAAGGGAGGAAUCAGAAACACCAGUACAUACCAGAGGCACGACCAGCGCACUGAUCCCGAAAUUCAACUACGAGCUUUUUAACUGCAACAACUUUAAUAUACGCUAUUGGAGCUGGAAUUACCGCGGCUGCUGGCACCAGACUUGCCCUCCAA